rnacentral:rRNA from 1 species
AGUGAACGCUGGCGGUAGGCCUAACACAUGCAAGUCGAACGGCAGCACAGUAAGAGCUUGCUCUUACGGGUGGCGAGUGGCGGACGGGUGAGGAAUACAUCGGAAUCUACUUUUUCGUGGGGGAUAACGUAGGGAAACUUACGCUAAUACCGCAUACGACCUACGGGUGAAAGCAGGGGAUCUUCGGACCUUGCGCGAUUGAAUGAGCCGAUGUCGGAUUAGCUAGUUGGCGGGGUAAAGGCCCACCAGGGCGACGAUCCGUAGCUGGUCUGAGAGGAUGAUCAGCCACACUGGAACUGAGACACGGUCCAGACUCCUACGGGAGGCAGCAGUGGGGAAUAUUGGACAAUGGGCGCAAGCCUGCUCCAGCCAUACCGCGUGGGUGAAGAAGGCCUUCGGGUUGUAAAGCCCUUUUGUUGGGAAAGAAAAGCAGCAUGUUAAUACCCCGCUGUUCUGACGGUACCCAAAGAAUAAGCACCGGCUAACUUCGUG